rnacentral:rRNA from 1 species
UACGUAGGGACCGAGCGUUGUCCGGAAUCAUUGGGCGUAAAGAGCGUGUAGGCGGCCACUUAAGUCCUGCGUGAAAUCUUGCGGCUCAACCGCAAGCGGUCGUGGGAAACUGGGUGGCUAGAGUGCGGGAGAGGAGAGUGGAAUUCCUGGUGUAGCGGUGGAAUGCGCAGAUAUCAGGAAGAACACCCGUGGCGAAGGCGGCUCUCUGGGCCGUAACUGACGCUGAGGAGCGAAAGCGUGGGGAGCGAACAGG